rnacentral:rRNA from 1 species
AACGCGAAGAACCUUACCUGGCCUUGACAUCCAGAGAACUUAGCAGAGAUGCUUUGGUGCCUUCGGGAACUCUGAGACAGGUGCUGCAUGGCUGUCGUCAGCUCGUGUUGUGAAAUGUUGGGUUAAGUCCCGCAACGAGCGCAACCCUUAUCCUUUGUUGCCAGCGGCUCGGCCGGGAACUCAAAGGAGACUGCCGGUGAUAAACCGGAGGAAGGUGGGGAUGACGUCAAGUCAUCAUGGCCCUUACGGCCAGGGCUACACACGUGCUACAAUGGCGCAUACAAAGAGAAGCGACCUCGCGAGAGCAAGCGGACCUCAUAAAGUGCGUCGUAGUCCGGAUUGGAGUCUGCAACUCGACUCCAUGAAGUCGGAAUCGCUAGUAAUCGUAGAUCAGAAUGCUACGGUGAAUACGUUCCC